GGGCCCGCACAAGCGGUGGAGCAUGUGGUUUAAUUCGAUGCAACGCGAAGAACCUUACCAGGGCUUGACAUACUACAGAUUCUUUUGAGAAAGAGAAGUGCCUUCGGGAAUGUAGAUACAGGUGGUGCAUGGCUGUCGUCAGCUCGUGUCGUGAGAUGUUGGUUAAGUCCCGCAACGAGCGCAACCCUUAUUUUAGUUACCAACUCGUUGGGUUUUUUAGAAAGACUGCCGGUGACAAACCGGAGGAAGGUGAGGAUGACGUCAAGUCAGCAUGCCCCUUAUGUCCUGGGCUACACACGUGCUACAAUGGUUAAGACAAGAGAUGCAAAUCUGUGAAGACUAGCU
rnacentral:rRNA from 1 species